rnacentral:lncRNA from 1 species
UCCUACAAAUGUUGCAAAAAAAUUCACUUUACGAUAAAUCUAUAAUGAAAAUAUUUGAGGCUCGCGAGGGUGAUGUGGCCUAGAAACCGGCAUGUGAUAACCUUGUAUACCGCUGCCUUUUAAUUUUUUAUAUAUUAAAUUUCUCGAUAAUGAAAUUCCUAAUUAAAGCGGAGAGUAUAAUGAAGCGCCCGUGUCGGAGAGCAGAGUCUGCCUGAAUUCUUCAAACUUAAUUCCUCGAUCGUUCUUUCUCUUCCAUUAAAUUUUCGCUAAGAACGGAAUUCGCUCGAAAUACGUCCGAUAGAAAGUGACUGCCGAUAUAUAGUUCACGUACAUAAUUUAACUUCCUAUCUAACCCACGGCCUUUGGACCAAGGUCAUGUAUUUUAUCACAUUAAUGUAUAAUAUUUCUUAAGAUUCGUUGCUUGUACGUGUAAGAUACAGUACUGAGAUAUUUAUGAUAAUAAAACGUUUGAAUUUAGCUGGAAAUAUCUUCUUGCACGCUCGCCGAGAAGGAACACCGACGAAAUAUAAAUAAUGAGAGACAAUUUUAUCGACCCGAGUGGUAUAUACCGGUAACAAUACGUAACAUAAAUCGGGAUAUCUGCGUACUUCCUUUCCACCACAUAAAAAUUGGAAUGAUAAAUUCGGAGUAAAAAAUCGUUUCAGCAAAAAAAAAAAAAAAGACUAUUCAGAAAACAAUCGAAAAUUUAUCUCUUUCACAUUUUUGCUUCGUCAGAAUACCCGGCUGUAGUGUAUUCGCGGAAAUUUCGCGAUCGAUCUAUCGCUUUUGCAUGGUAAUAAUAUAUCGAUCAACGUCUUUCAAUCUCCCAUCACGCUUGACGCCGGACCAAAUGACGUAAACGCGCCUCGCGAGACAUUAACAGCAAAUGACAGGCAAAUCUGUUCCUCCCUCCUGUCCUUUCGUCCCGAGGAACCGAGGUCCUCCGUCGGCCGGCGUUUUAUAAGCCAUAAAACGGCGACGUUCCCGCGUCCCGACGAGGCCGUAACUACGAAAGGAUAGGGAAAUACUGGGGAAUCGGUCCGCCGCGCGGGGCUAUCGAUCGUCCUCCGGCUACACAGACUACUUGCUCCUCCUCGGUCGGUCCUUCUUCGUCACUCGCACCGGCCGACCCUGACUGUCGUCACUCCUCUCGGAGAUAAAUCGAGUUUACCGCCAGGUACCGCGCUCGGGACAAAGUUAUUAUAGUUUCGAUUCGAUUACGUCGCAACUGCAACGACAGUUACGUGGGAAAACCGAGCGCCUCUCUUGAAUCCCGUCGCUUCUACCCUUUUGUACCCUUUUACCGGCCACGAUGUGAUCUUUGCCCUAGAUCAGCUAGAUCUCUGUCUUCUGGGAAGCCCCUCGCUGGGAACAAUAUGGGUCAAACGGUGUAUCGUGACAUAUGCGGCUUCGGUAGAGAACAUAGCACAUAGGUUGCCGAUGAGGAGCCAAUCUUGGUGGCGGUCGAGGCGGAUAGUAAAUGUUUGACGAAAAGAAGAAAAAAAGGGAAGAAAAUAACAGCGAUCCCCUCACCUCGGGGUGUAUCUCGUGUAUCCGAAUAAAUCGAUAGGAACUCCGAAGCAUGUAUUAGAGAUUGACUUCGUUCAUUUUAAAUACGUCGCAGAUUAAAUUAUCGGAUGCGUUAUUAGAACAAAAAGGUUGCGAAAUUCGAUCUGUUUACGUAUAUGUUACGCCGUAAUCUGGGUCAUUUGCAAAAUAAAUGGUUAAUAGCGCCAGAAAAAAAAUCAUGUGCUAAUGGUAUACUGAAUGGUUCCAAAAACAUUCCAAAUAAAUAUACAUAACUGUCAAAAAUAUAUUUCUCGAAAAAUAAAAUAAAGAGAGUUUUAAAACAGAA